UACGUUUGCAAGAGCAAUUUGCAAGGGGAUGGGAGGGACACGCUUCGGGGCAGAUGUGAUGUUUACAGCUCUGGUGAGCUCUGGGUCACUGAUCAAACCAGCAGCAAGUGGCCUGUGGACUCCUAAAAACAGGAGCUGUUUUUAACUCUAAGCUCUCUCUUCUCUUCACCUCAAGGCUGUUUGCAGCCAGCCCCACUCUGGCACACAGAGCACUCUCCCAUCAGACACCUCCAAGAGCCUGGACUCAGGCACGGGAACAGGCAGCUCUAACUGUACAUAAACCCGCAAGGUCUCCCCUGAGCCUCAGAAGCUGACAUCAGUCCUAAAAGUGCACAGGUGAGACUCCCUGCACCCAGCUUCAGCUACACCUGUCCCUGGUUUCAAAUGUAGCUCAGCAGGAGUGAUUCUCACUCAGGGAUCCUGCAAUCUCUUGCAAAAGUCCUAAACCUGCUGCAGACCUUCCCAGACUCACCCAUAUAAACCAUAACUCUGCCACUGAGAGCAAGAUGUGAGCACACAGGUGUUGAACUCAACUGGAUUUCAACCAACCACACAGACACAAAAAAGGCACAUCCUGUCCUGGGACCACCCUCAGCAGCAUUCCAUUUAUCACUUGUUUUCAUGUGUGCAUCUCCUCACUCUCCCUUCUUCCAUCCCUGCCAUAGGGGAAGACCCUCCAUGGAUGACUCAGGAUAACAUUAUACAUCUGCAGAUUCAGGACUCAGCUGUAAACUCUGCUCCUUCAUUUAAAAAAUCCCUACACCAGUGUGCCAAGUCAUGGCACUCUCCAAAUAUUUAAUAAUAUGAUACAAUUAUGUGUAUUGUGGGGUGUGGCAUUACAGUUUUAUCAGUGAGUUUCAAGAUGCUGUGUGCUAUGGAUGAGCUACAAAAGCUAUCAUCCUCCCAAAGGGGUUAGAGUAGCAUUUCACCCAGCCCUAGUGUGUGUUCUUCACAGAGCAGCCAAAGGAUAAAUGCUCCCAAUGAAUUUUUUAAAAAUUAUUUAGCUGGGACCAGUGGCUGGAAGGUGCCAGAGUAUGUGACAGGAUGCCAUUCCUACAUUUUAAACAAAUAUUCUGGCCAUCUUGAGGCACAGGCUCCAGCUACAAAUAUAAAUAACUUUGAGCUAGUGGCCAUUUACUGUCCCAAAGCACAACUGGAAUGGAAAACUAAGCUCCAUUACCCACACUCUGCAUCAGGAAACAUCUCUCUUAAAUCCCCCAAGCCCUGCAUUGACUCUAGUGAGUGGGGUUUUUGUGAGAAAUGGUGCAUAAUAAUACAUUACAGGUCAGUGAUCAGGUUUGUGCCCUUGGCCCUAUUUACUAGUUUGAACAGAUACAAGUUUUUCACUGGUUUCCUAAGUUUCAAUUUCAAGCAUUGAUAGGGACAUUUUUUUAAAAAGCUCUGCCAUCUAUAAAAAAUAAGCUAAAUUACUAUCACAUGAAUUUUGAAUAUUCACCCACAUUAUUUUCUAACAGGGAGAACAAACAAAGACUGUUUGAAGAUAAAAUAAUUUGCAAAAUGCUGAAGAGCAGGAGCAUAUAUGAAAAAGUAAGGACUCAGAAAGUGAAGUUGUUCCAUAUUAAAUCAAGGCUAGGGAACAGUUGAGGAGUCAUUCCUUUGGACUGUCUCAUGGCAAGCACUGAGGGGACACAGCUCUGGCUGUGCCUCAGCAGUGCCUGGCAGCUCCAAGGUAAAUAGCACAAAGGUUUUGUACCAAAAUGUUGCAGUCAGAGGAAGGCAAGAGCUCUGUUCUUACAGUGCCCAAACCCUUAAACAGCAGACAUUUUUGUGCAGCAGCAUCCCAAUUACCUGCCUGUAAAGGUGUACCACAACCCAUUUUCCCAAAAUGUCAGUGGGUUUUGUCUCCCUCUCCUUGUCUUUAUCUCACCACUCAUCACCUGUGCUGUAGGGGUGCCCAGCCCAAGCCACAGCAGUGACCAGCUCUUGUCACCAGACCAGCUCCCGUCACCAGCCAGAGAAAAAUAAAACAAUUUCUUGA